GAGAGUUAAACAGUACGUGAAAUUGUUGAAAGGGAAACGAUUGAAGUCAGUCAUACCAACGGGAAAUCAACCUUUUGAGUUUGGUCUCGUGGGUUUUGAAGAGUUUUUAAAAGCCUUCGGAUUUUCGAGAUUGGGUUCUUGAAUCUUUUUGGCUGGUGCACUUUUUCGCGUGGCAGGUUAGCAUCAACUUUGAUGGUUGUAAAAUGGUGGUCGGAAGGUGACUCUUUUUUGAGUGUUAUAGCCGGCUGCAGAUGCAACGAUCGGGGUUGAGGUUUGCGGCAAAUGCCUUUGGGCUACUUACCUUCCUUCUGAUCUGUUCACUUUGAAAUGACAGCUUGCUGACAUUUUAGGGGGCGUUCAAUCAAUAGGGUAGAGUAGGAUAAAUUUGCCAAGGAUGCUGACGUAAUGACCUUAAACGA
rnacentral:rRNA from 1 species